rnacentral:rRNA from 1 species
AACGAACGCUGGCGGCGUGGCUGAGACAUGCAAGUCGCACGGAACUGCUUUUGGGUAACUGAGAACAGUUUAGUGGCGAAAGGGUGAGUAAUGCAUGGGUAACGUACCCCGGGCACCGGGAUAGCAGCGUCUGCUUCGGCAGGCUACCGAAAGGGCUGGUAAUACCGGAUGUGGUUGGUAGCACUGCGGUGCUUUUGAUCAAAGUUGGGGAUCCGCUUCGGCGGACCUAACGGCCUGGGAGCGGCCCAUGUUCCAUCAGCUAGUUGGUAGGGUAAAGGCCUACCAAGGCGAUGACGGAUACCGGGGCUGAGAGGCCGAUCCGGCACAUUGGGACUGAGACACUGCCCAGACCCCCACGGGGGGCUGCAGUAACGAAUCUUCCGCAAUGGGCGCAAGCCUGACGGAGCGACGCCGCGUGUGGGAUGAAUGUCCCUCGGGAUGUAAACCACUGUCAGGGUUAUGGAAACAAACCGCAGUAAUACAGCGGGGCGUAGACCUAGCCCAGAGAAGCCACGCUAACUU